AGAUGCCCUCUCCACCUGCUCUGUCUCAUGCCCGGCCUUUACUAGCUCCCUAGUGUGUUAUCUGCUCUGCCCUUUAAUAUGCUACUUGUUGUCUCUCCUUUCUAUGUUGCACAUAAUAAUUUCUUCCAAAUCUCUCCUCUGUGGUGGUGCUGCACGUCACUCAUUGCAGUGACAGUUAUAAUUUUGGACUUGAUGAUCUUGGAGGUCUUUUUCAGCUUUGGUGAUUCUAUAUUCAAACACCUGUAGUAAGCUCUUCCUUACCAUUGCGAUGGAGUUUCUCUACUAAAAACCCAAGAAAAUACUGACCCAAGCAUAUUAAACAUUGGUCCAGGAGCACGCACUGUGCAUGACACCUCUCAGGGCCCUCUCCCUGCUCUCUUCUGAAGGGAAUCUGUGAGAUAUGCAGGUCACUCAAUGAAAGAGAUUCAAAUUGUCCUCCACUGAACUAUUCAGCAUGUGAUCAUGUUUUUUACCUUGAUCUCUUUUCAAUGGAAAGUUGGGCUCCAGUGCUGUGAAUCCCCCAUGCAUGAAGCAAGAUACCAGUACAUGGAGUAUGUUCAGAAGAGCUAAGAGGCUAAACCCUUUCAUAAGGAGUGAGAAAAAUCUGGCUUCCACCACAGACCAUGGAACAUGAUCAGGAACCAUCUCAGUAGAAAAGCCUACUGCCUUCAGUGAGAUUUCCUAUCUUAUAUUCAUAGAAAUAGGUUUGUAUAUCAGACUCUGACCUUCUGGUGUUGGGCAGUAUUCAAAAGCCUGAAGAGGAUAUUUGAGGUAUAAAUUUUCAAGGAGAGUACCGACUUUCAAUUUACAGUCUGAGAUUGCUAAAAGUGCAAGCAGGAGGAAUUUGUUCUCAUGCAAAAUAUUCACUUUGUUUCUUGGUCCAGGUAUUAAAGCAGUUUUGAAAGAGAGCAACCCCAAUUUUCUUCCACUUUUGAAUGCCACUGAAGAUGUUUAAGACAGAGUAAUGUUUACAUGUCACAAAUGGAUGUUCCAGGUCUGGGCUCCUAGAAAUAAAAGACUGUAAUGUUGCACUACUUAAGAUUUAUUGACCAUGCACAUGAUCUCAGAGGAUUUUACUUGUUUGAGGGUAACAGUGUGGUACGAUCAGUGAAUGCAAAAUUCAUACUGCAAAGAAGAACUCUAUGUAUAUACAUAUAUAUAUAUAUAUGUUCUGUUUGGUUUAAGUUAAACUUUUAUUGUAGGUUGAUUCUUAAAUUAUAGUUCCCAGAUGGCACCACUCAGAAUUUAUAUCCAGAAGGAUCUUAAUGUUUCCACAACAUUUCCAUCAGCGCUCACUUCUACCCAUUUAUAGAACUUGUCUAUCUCCAUAUGUCAAAGAACAUUUAUAUGUUAGAAACAAUUCUAUGUUAGAAAGAUGAAAUGGAAGAUUCCUUUGUCUAUAAGGGAUAGGAUAAAAAAUUGAUAAAUUGUGAAGAGUCAAGAGAAAGGAUUCUCCUUUCCCAACUGUGACCUCUUCAGAACCAAACUAGAAACCAUGUAUAGGGAGUUUGAUUUGUAUAUUACUGUUUUUCAGCAACUGCACUCUCCAGAUACACAACAGGAACUGGAUGGUUAUUUACAGUGCUAAGGGGAGAAGACUUUCACUUCAUCUAACUUUUGUACUCUAUAAAUUAAGCACGCUAGGUAAUCAGUUAUGUGUGCAACCUCACUAGUGAGUGGAGAGGGACCAGCAAUUAUAGAAAGUGAUUCAUCCCGUUAAUCAUAUGGGAUACUAUAUUAAGAUGAAUCCACUACCAUGUGGCUAUGCAGUUUCUUUCCACAGACCACGGAAGGAGUCUAGAUGGCUAGCUGAGAAUGGAUGCCUAGGAUCCAUAAAUCAUAUCCUAAAGUAUUGGAAAGCCUUUAAAAUCUGUCCUUUGCACAAUCCUGUAGUCCAAGCCAGCACUACAGUGUUGAGCUAUGAGGAAUAUUUGCUACUUCAAUAUCAAUACCCUGCAGCCUUUCCCUUAUACAUACUGUUUCUUCUACAUGUUGUACAUGUUCAGUGAUAAGAACCAGGCCUUCACUGAUUUAUACAAGAAAGUCAGGAAUUAUACAACUUUCUCAUCCAUGAUCUUCAUUCAUUACAGGAUAUGGCAAGACCAGUAACUGAGUAUUUUUACUUGGGAGUAUAGCGAGGCUGUUGCUUGUCCAUGGCACACCUGUCCCUGGGUCAGUUUUCCAACAUAUGAGUAUACUAUAGUUACGAUCCAUUUCAAAGCUGUGCUUUAUGAAUUUCUUGAUAACAGAGACAGAUUCACCUGCCAAAUACACUCCCAGAAUCCAGAGACAUUCUAAGGUACUAGGCCUGCUAGAUGACACUCUGUUCUGUCUUUAGAAGUUGCAAAAACAUCCCAAAGUCAUCUUAAACAUAACGGUUAUUGUCAUCUGUCGCCUUUGGUUUUAUGUCCUUAAUGGUGAAAUACUGGCUCUUGACUUCUCCUGUUUCCAUGAAAGUGAAAAUGGUGCCACUUCAGUGAUCACCAUACUUUUGUAUUUCUCAAUUUGCAAGCUCAGAAAUAAAAAUGAAUAGAACUG
rnacentral:lncRNA from 7 species